GUUAGAAUUGUAAGCUAGUAUGUUCUGUCCAGGAGGAAAUCAAUGGCGAAUUGAAGCUUUAAGGCAGGAAAAUGGGGAAUGAUAAAUCCAGAGGAAAAUGUUUACAGAUUUAUUCUUAUCAGAAUGAAAGAAAGAUAAAGACAGAAAGAGACAACACCCCCAACAGGGUCCCAACACAGAGACACCCUCCCCCACUCUAGCCCCAACCUUUAGCCAGCGUGGGACCUGGUACACGUAACAGAAAACACUGAAAACGAACGUCAGUUUCAGGUUCCUCACAUGUACUCUGGGAAGAUGGUGAGGUUUCAAACAUUCAAAGCAAUGUUCUAUUGGCUAACCAAAUGAAUAAAUCUGAAUAGAAGACAGAAAAUAUGAAGAGCAUGAAAACAAAGAAUCAUAAUUCUCGCCUGAGGUUGCUAGAGAAAGAUUCUUGGCAAAGUACAUGUAAUUAAUCCAGUCAUUCAAGAAAGUACUGAGUUCAUGCCGGAAAUAAAGACAGUAACUUCUGGAGAUACAGUAACGAGGACAGACAUAAUCCCUGCCUUCAUACAGCUUACGGCCUUACAGCAGAGAGAAACGCAAAGGAGCAAUAAAUAUGCUGUGAUAAGUACUAAAACGCAAAUAUGCACACAAUGUUAAGGAACACAUGGUAGGUGUAUUUGCUUAUGGACAAACACCUAAUUCAGACUUUCCAGAGGAAGAACUGUCUAAGCUGGGACACAAAAAAGAAGGAGCUCCAGCUGAGCUUAGAGUAGAGGGGGAAAGUGUCCCAAAGGCAAAGGGGCAGCAUGUGUAAUGACAUAGGCCCGGGCAGAGAAAAUGCCAGAGAGAACAUGCCAGAGAACUGAGCAGAGUCCACGGUGGCUGGGGUAUAGGACAGGAGGGAGGAGAAGGGCUUUCCUAAGAGCAAUGGGGUAGCCUUGGGAGAAUGUUAGCCAGAGAGAAUAAGAUCAGAUCCACAUUAU